UUGUUAACUUAGUUAAUGAUGAAUACUUGUAUUGUUCUAUAGGAUGCAUUAGCUGAAACACAUAGAGAUGAGGACAUAUUGACUGAGUCAUUGGGCUCUAAGGAGCAUGGUGGACGUGUACGUGGCAUGGGUGGUUUUGUCUCUCAAUCACUAUAUUUCAAGACAGUGAAAGGGAAAGAGAAAAUUGCAAGUUCUCAAGUUGUAGAAGAUGACUCAAAAAGCAAAAGUUACAAAAAGGGUCAUAAUCACUUGAGAUCGUCCAUCAGAAGUGUUAACAUAGAUCUCUAUGCCGAUGAGGAUUUGGGCAACACACCUAUGAACGAAGAAGUGAAGGAGGAGAUUGUAGUUUACCUAUUCCAGUGAAGGGCAAGAUAGAGACUUUAAAUCAAGCAUUAGGUUUUGAUAUUAUUUUGUUUGUGCUUGGAGCAUUCAACCCCAAAGGAUGUUCUGUAUUCUUCAAAUUACAUAAAUGUUAAUGGAACCAUUAAGCUCUUAUAUGGACAUGUCGUGAACAAUAUGAAGGAUGUAGAUAUGGUUCGCAUCCUAAUGAACGAGCUAAUAUUCGGUAAAAACAAAUUCAUUUAUUUAGCUCGUUAGGACUUGCUCCAUUAUUGCGGCAUGGUAGAAAUAGGCUAUAUGUGCAUCCUAGCAUACAUUACGUAAGUAAACAUCUUUUACUCAUCUUUAUGUCCAAUACUAUAGCUAUAGUUAUUUUGUUCCUUUUUAACUAAGGUUGCUUUUACUUAGAUAUCUUUGGGAUGAAUGUGAUUGUGGAAGCAAGUUUUUUGUUAUGACCAAGCAAAAAUAACAUCACAUAUCAAGGAUCGUGAUCUCCGAUCCAGAAAUUUUGCCAACCAGUUAGAAGCGGCUACCUUGGAACAAAUAGUUCUAAUUCCGUAUAAUACUGGGUAAAUAAAUAAGAUUAACACAUUAUUAUGUUUUUCAUUGAGGUUAAAUGUAUACUCACAUUGAAGAUGUUUAUUGUAGUUUUCAUUGGAUGUUGCAUGUCAUCGAUCUUCGAGAGAACUGUGUUUAUGUUUUGGACUCUCUUCAAAGUAAAGUUAACGAAGACAUCCAUGGAGUCAUAAAUGUGACUUAUGAUUUACUUCUUAUUUGACUUCAUUGUCUUCUAAUUCUAAUGUUUCCAAAUGUAUAGAGGAUUAAAAACAUGGCAAGCUAAGCAUGAUUUACAACAUUAUCGGUCAAAUCCGAAAUGGAAACCUAUAAAGUUUAAUACAAAAAAGUGCAUAUACGCAAGAGGAGAUUGACGAGAUUCGAACAAAAUAUGCAAGCUUUGUUAGCCGAUUUGUGUAAGCUUUUACACUUUUUUUGUAGUAUAUAAGUUACUAGUACUAAUACUAAUUGUUUUAAUAUAUAAGCUACGAGAUUCUAGUACUACUUGUUGUACAUACUUUAAUUUUGAGGUUUUCUGCUUGUAGUAGUUUAUGAAUAAGUGUUGUAUUGUAGUGUUUUAGGUGUUGACUUUAGAGUGUAUUUGUUGUAGUACUAUGUGGAAAGUGUGUAUUAGUGGAGGAAUUUGUUGUACACAUACUUUAAUACUUUACAUAUUAUUUACUUGAUUGAUAUGUGUAUUUUUGUAGUA